CUGCUAAAGGCAGUUUCCAGGCUUGGAGGAGCUGGUGGCAGCUUUUUGCACCUGAAUCCCUUUGACCUCUGUGAGGGCUUUAUAGGAUACUGUUUGAAGAGAGUUUAGGGUAUGUUUGAGCUGCUUGGCCCGGUUAUUCCUGAGCUGCUCCUCCCACCUACGGUUUGAGCUCUGCAACAGCAUUGCGCUCCAGCAGCAGCCUCAGCAAGAAUUAGGGCUCAAAUUGCAGCUGCUGCACCAAGCCAAGCCUCAAAGCGGCUUUCUGCCAGCAUCCUGCCAAAAAACAUUCCAUGGGAAUUUAAGUACCCCUGUGUCCACAGGACAGCUGGGCAGCGAUCUGUGCCCCCCGAUUACCCUGCCAGGAAUAAACUCUCACCCUGCUAAUGGCAAUCACAGCCGCUUGCCCAUGGGAUGGGGAUCGUGCCAGGACACAUCACCUGACGCAGCUAUUAAAGUCCAUGGGAUGAAAGCUCUACUUCCAAUAUCAAACAUAUCCAUAUAAAAUAAAACAUAUUUUAUUGCCCUAGUUGGGAAGGAUGGGCUAUGAAUAUUUAAUAGCGAUAAUAAGGAGGCAGAAGACAUCUCUAAAGGCAAUGGAUGCCCAACUUGCUGCCUCAUAAGAAUUCUCCGUUUCGUUUUUGUCUUUGAAGAGAAACAAUUUUUCCUUAUUUUUGUCUGUAUUCGGUGUAAUCAGAUCACUCUCACCACUGAAGCUUAUUUCCUGCUGUUGGGCCAGAAGGGCAAGUGGACAGAAAGCUGACAAGACACACGAGGGCAUUUGGAAGCGACUUUCACCAGUGGUGGUUAGGUCCUGAUCUCACAGGUGCUGGCCCUGGCCACAGCGAUGCUCCCGGAGCACUCGCUCCUCCUGCAUUUUGUGCUCAUCCCUUCUGGAAAUCCAAAAGUGCCCUGAGCAUCAUCCGAGACCAGAGCACGUUACUGAGGAGUGACAGGGACCUGAACUCAGCAGCAGCCCCUGUCACCUGUUAAGUUUUCACAUGGUGGGUGCAUUAUUUUUCUAGCAACUUCAUAAUCUGUUUGGCGCAGGAGGAGAGCCCAUCCCGCCCUUGAGCUGAGCUUUUCGGGGCUAUUCUCCAGCAUUAAAUAUGGAAAAUUCUGACAGUCAGUCCUGGCCAUUUUCAAGCUGUUUGGGAUAUUUUAACUUUCAAAACAAAGAUGAAUUAAACUGGUUACUUUACAGCAGAUUCUAGCUGGGAAAAAACAAAUCGUCAUGCCAGGUCCAUGAUGAAGGUACCUGGCAGCUCCUGGCGCAGCAGAGCUGCCAUCGCGGAGAGCGAGACCCUGCCGACUAUCAGAGAAAUGGUGACCUGUGGCUUUUGAAAAAGCUCACUUCGAUCCUAAUCUGGGCUCUACAACCACACACUGUAACAGGAACGAUAACCAGGCAGCGUGAUCCCAUUAGCUCCGGUUGUGUUUGUGCUUGUUCCACUUAAUCAGAGCAGUUUUGUUGUGUCAGUCCAGUGUAAUGGAUGUGUUAUCACAUAAAAAAAAGCAACUCUGAAACAACAGGUGAGGAUGGAUUUUUGAAAUACAAGUGUUAGUCAUACCCUGCUUUGCUUAACUUACUCUAGCAAAGAAAACAGAGCAGAGGUUUUCAAAUAGUUGCAGCUUUACUGUGAGAAACAAUUUGCUUGUCCAACACAGUAUUAACUACCAGCACUGCAGCUACUUUUAAAAAGCAUUAACAAUCUUUUGGAUUUCCAGAAAAGGAAGGACAUUGCCACCUUCAAUUGUUGCUUAAACACUGUCUGUUUUUUCUUGAACAGAAGUUCCGAGGCAGCACUCUGGUGUUAUCCAGUGGCAGGACUUCAGGUGUUUUAAGUUCUUUCCACAGAGGUGCAUGAGGCACAACAUAAACGAGCUAGGAAAUACUCCACAGCCUUGCAGCCCGUCACAGACCCUGCUCCCUCCCCUUCACAAGCUCAGAAACAUCAAAAUUCAACAAACCAACACGGCAGAGGUCACACAAGUAGCUGCUGUUCCACUGCUGCUUCCUCCCAUCGCCCUUGGCCACAACUUCAGGAACAGCUGCUGAAGCAAAUUGAAAAAUUACAAAUGAGACCCCAGGGCUUCUGACAAUUCGUCUCCUCUUCUCUACUUUUCAUCUAAAUUCAGGUACCACAAGCACUUGUCACGUGACUGUUAAUACAUUGCUUUGUGCUUCGGCAACUCUCUAAACAAUCUGUCUCAAAGGUUUGCUAGCAAAAACAAUGCUGAAAUAAUAACAAAAUCAUGUAAUUAAACAAUUUAGUAGGCAUGCUUCAGCCAGAGCCAAUGCGAUCAAGCACAAAGUUCAAUAUCAGAGCCUACACCCAGCCCUGUUCUACAAUAUUAAACAAAUACGGCAUUACUAACCCCGGAGUUCACCACUGCACAGGAACCUGGGAGCAAGUGUUGUAAUUAAUCCUGUGCAGAGUACUCUACGGGCUUGACAGAACAUGGUACUGAAAUGCAACAGUUACUGCGACUGCAGCCUCACAAAUGUCACUUUUUCUUGGUGAAAAUUGAUCUAAUUUAUCUUGCUAGUACAUGAACAAAAUAACUCGUUUACAGGAUCUGGAGUGUUUGUGUUUCAAUGAAGAACCUGCUUCUUGUACUAAAGAAAUAAUCCCAGAAAUCAAAUUAAAGAAUCAUAAAAUACACCAUCAUCACAAAAGUAGAAACAUCUGUAUGGAUUUAAUGGGGUUCAGUCACUGUCACCAUUAAAGCACAUCUCGCUGCUCCCUUUGUUUCCACCAGGUGCGGGCAAUGAAAUUCAUCUCUACUUCCUUUCUUGUCCAUCUAAUAUGAACCUGGCUAAUGAAUCUCUGCUCAUUAUACUCCAGUUUGACUUGUGGUUAUACACAGGAAUACUAUAACCAGUUAAUGAUUUAGAUACAUCACACAAAAAUAAAAUCUUUAUUAAAAUUUGUAAAGAUGUUUUUAAUUAAUUUUUAUUAAAUAUUAUAGAGUUAGCUCCUCAUAAAUUAUUUGUGAAAAUAAAUUGUUUAAAAAAUACUGAUGUAACUGUCUUACAUACGUCUUGGGCG